CCACAUACCAAUCAAGAUAUUAAAAGCCCCAGGUUUGCCACAAAUGGAGUAUUAAAUUACACAUACCAUUUAAAAAAGAAAUUGAAACCACAAUCAAAAAUUAAACCAAGAUGCACUCUAUAAUUGCUGUUAAUACAAAAUUAACCCAGUCCAAAUCUCUGUUUGGUCUGUUUUGUUUGUGUUAGGGCUGAGAUUUUUAGAGAGAUAAACAAAAUUGAAAAAAAUAUAAACCCUAAAUUCAUACCUGAUUGUUGUUUGCAGAGAGCGAUGGUGGUGCUGAGAUGGUAAAGGAGCAGCGGAAGAGACGCGAAAUCGAAAGAACUAGGUCGCGACGAGAGAGAGAUGGACGCGGGAGGGGUUUUUUUGCACGGAGCGAUGGUGAGGCAGAGAGUGUUAUGUUUUGUCUGAUAAGUUGAAGUGAAGAGACAGAAAAAAUAAAAGGACAUUAUAUAGGUAAGCAAAGUAUGUAAGGAUCAGGGUAAGUCCCUGAUCCGGACUCUCUCUCUCUCUCUAAAUAUAUGGCUAUAUUACAC
rnacentral:lncRNA from 1 species